rnacentral:lncRNA from 1 species
CUGAAGUUAACCACCUCUUAACACUGCAGAAAAGUUUACAAACUACUAUUUCACAUUCAUUAUUCAUAUAGGCAUGUAUAGAAGACUGAAACCCAAAAAAUAAAAAAACUAGAAAAUGCACAAUACAACCUCAAGCAGCACAAACACCCGUUUGUCACUUGAAAACGCAUUUGCGGCUCAUCUGCACUGACACAGUAAGAUUCGCCCUGUGGAGGUCGGGGCGGGUCGUUUCAGGUGACCUCCCACGCGCAGUAAGCCUAUUUUUAUAUAUGUACGGAUAUGGAUUUAUAUGCUCUGCCCAUGUAUUUAUACAAUGUGUUGAUAUAAUGUCCAGAAUCAUUCAGUGACCAGAAAAGCAUAGAAGUCUUCAAACUUGCAAGCUUGAAGAAAGCACAAAAAAGGAUUUUGAAAGCAUCAUUCAGUUAGCUUAUUGAUUUAGGAAAGAAGCAAACCAGAAACAGUAACAUUCCCAUCUACAGAACAGGUGCAAAGUAUUUAUCUCUACCGCAACAAAAGUUAGCAAAAAUGAAAGAUCAAACCAUAAUUAAACCUAAAAUAUCCAAAUAGACAUAGAAGGAUGCAGGAAACUGGGAGAAAGAGUAGAAAACUCAUCCCCUGAGAUCACAUAAUACCAAUAUUCCAAAAGAAGCCACAAUGUUCUCUCACUGAAGCAGAAAACUGCAGCUGAACUCGCAUAUUCAAUUAAGCAUGGAUAGAAGCCAGAAAUCAGGAGAAAGAACAAGAGAUGUCAACAUUUCCCUAUCACUUCAACAUAAAUUUGCAAAAAAGAAAGAACAGAGUGCACAUUUUGCAAGCAAAAGCAAUAAAUAGGAAAAAGAAAAAAAAAAAAACCCUUCCUGAGUUGUAGUUCCCGCUCUUCCUCAUAAAUAUCCAAAUGUGCUCCAUCACAUCAACAUAAAGGAGUAGUGGUAGAGCCCCACUAUUCUUGAAAACAUACAAAUGUAAGUCUGCAAAAUAAAUUUGCAGAAGUGGAAGAGAGAAUAAUAGUUUGAAGUUUUAGAACAGAAAAUAAGAAGCAUAAGGCAACAAGCAACUGAAAGGGAACUGAAAAACUCAAUUGACACCCCCUAGUCCCAAAAUUCUUCAAAGCCUUUCUCUGAAACUGCAACACUAAAAUUUGAAAAAUCAAACAAUGAAUCAUUCGGAUUAAGGACCCGUUUGGGGCAGCUGCGCUGCCACUGCGCAGCUGCCCCAAACGGGUCUUAAGAAUAGAUAAGACGCAAGAAACUAGAAGAGACUAGUAUAGAUUAGCCUCAAUACCCCUCAAAAUUCAGAUCACAUUGCCAUCAACAAAUUAGAUAAAAAUAAAACAACAAAAUCAUAACUUGAAUUUGAGAGUCACAUAAGAAGAGAGAACAGAAAUAAACUAAAACAAUGACUAGAACCGCAAACCAAGCGCCUUUAAUAUUCCUCAAAAACUUGGAACAUUCUGCCAUCACUGCCACCUAAAUUUGCAAAAAUGGAAAAAUCUUAAUACAUAUUCCCAUCUAGAAGUGACAAACUAGGAAGAAUAAGAGCCAGAAACAAACUCAAAUAAACCCCCUGAUUGCACAGUAGUACCAACAUUCUUCAAAAACUCGUUAUCAUUUCACUGUAAGUCUGCAACAGAAAUUUUGCAAAAAUGAAAGACCUAAAAACAAUUUGAACCUCAGUACAUCCAGAUAGAUGCAAGCAUAAACUAGAUCAAAAAAUAAAGUGUCAUCAGAAACCCCCUGGGUAGCGGACAACCCUAAUAUUCCACCAAAACUUGGAACUACGUAGAAGAGCAACUCACGAGAAGCCCAUAUUAGCAAUGAUCGGUAUUCCUAAAAAACAGAGAAAUACUUAAAAUCACUGCCAAUACAUUUGCAGAAGUGGUAAAACAUGAUAAUUUGAAAUUCUCAUAUCCAGAUAGCUAUAAAUAGAAGAAAUUAACAAGAAGACACCCGCUCUGUAGCAUAGUCCUAAAACACCUCAAUGAACACUGAACAUUUCUGUGAAACUGCAGUAAAAAAUUUGCAAAAAUUAUGCAGGCUGACAUACAACCUAAACUAUUUAGGUAGGCAUAAAUGGGAUGGGGGAAUUAGUAAAAAGAAUUAAAGUCAUCAGACAUCCCCUGACCACCACUCAAAAACACUUUGCAUCGCUUCUCAAGAAAUUUACAAAAAAAGGAAAGACAAUUCUAAAAUGAAUUGUUAAAAAGGUAUCCAGUUAGGUAGAUACAUAAGAAAUGAACCAAGAAAAGGACUGAAAAAUAUGAUAGAAAAUCCACCGAGUAGAAUCAUCCAACACUCCUUGAAAUGUAGGUCCAUUUCUGUAACAGUGGAACCUAAACUUUGCAAAAAACAACCAUCAUCUGCUGUAUGUUUGCAUAAGAUAUAAGUGAAAAACUGAAAAAGAUUAAAACUUUUUACAGAAGCCUGAGUAGCAAAGUCCCAAUAUUCCACAAAAGCUUGCUACAUUUUGCAAUGCUGCAACAAAAAUUUUGCAAAAAUAAAAGAUCAAAAUAUGUUCUAAGCAUUCAUAUCUGCAUAAAUUUAAAGCCAAAAAACGAGGAGAAACAAUAACAAGAACCAUCAAAAAAUCCCAAGCAGCGGAUAAUCCCGAAAUACCUCAAAACAUUCACCGUCACUGCAAUAUAAAUUUGCAAAAAUGGAAGACUACAAAUAUGAAAGACAAAAUUACAAAUUGAACCUUAUGAAGAAAUGAAAGAUAGUAUGAGACACUAAUAAUAAAUUAGUGAAAGGAAGAAAAACCCAUUGGUCACUACAAGCAGCAUAGUCCCACUAUUCCUUGAAAACACAGGAAUCAUAUCACUGCAACAUAUGUUUGCAGAAGAGAAAGAGGAAAUUUUAGUUAUGGAUUUCAAAAAAAUUGGCAAAUCUGUAACACUGCAACACAAUUGUGCCAAAUAAAUGAUAAGAGAUAUAUUCUUCAAGUACUCAAGAUAAACAUAGACAGAAGUGAGAAACUAUAAGAGACAAAACACUCAUCGGGCACUCCUCAAUGUAUAGCCUCAAAUUCCUCAAAAACUCAGUGCAUACUGCCAUCACUGCAACACAAUUUUCCAAAAUAGCAAGACAUAGGUAGUCAAUAUCUAGCCCCAAUGUAUCUUACAUUUUAACAGAGUAAGAUAAGAAUAUAGAUAUAAUAAAUUAGACAAAAGACUAAAAAUCAAGGAAGAUACCCCCACGUACAACAGUCCCAAUGUUCCGGAAAACUAAGUUCCUCAUACCUAUGCAACAAAAAAUUGUGAAGGAAUUAGGGGAAAUUUUUUAGAAGCCAUCAAACACCCCCUUAGAUGAUAGCUAGCCCCAACACUCAAAAUUUGUAACAUUCAACCAUCACUGCUCCAAAAUUUGCAAAAGAUGGAAAACAUAAUUAAAAACUGGACUGUUAGGAUAGAACAAAUAAACUUAGGAAAGGACUAAAAAGCUGUCAGAAAAUCACCCAAGUAGAAUAGUCCUAAUACUCCUUGAAAACUUGGAACAUUUUUUCUCUCACUGCAACAAAAAAUUGCCAAACUAAAAGGGCACAAUGAAGGUAAAGUAUUCAAAGAUAAAGUGGUAAAAACUAAGUAAACGUCUAAAAAAUGCUCCGUGAUACUUCUCAAAAAUUUGUUAAAGAGAGAAGACAACCAAAUACAAUCCUCUCUUACGGAUUACGAAUAGAAGUGAUAAGCUAGAAAAAGGUCAGAAAAAGCCCAUUAAAGACACACCAGUAGCAGUCCCAAUACUCCUCAAAACACCGACCAUUUAAGUAACAUUGCAACAAAAAAAAUUUAUAAAAUGACAUUACCAAAGCACGAAUAUGUUCUCAAUGUUCAUAGAUAGAAAAAGCUCAUUAUAGACACCACGAGACAAAAGUCCUGGUAUUCCAUAAAAACUACAAACAUCAACCGAGCAACAUCAUUCUGAAGCAUCAUUCUCUGUAAUCAAACCAAAAAAAACAAAAUGAGCACAGGGCUAACUAGCAACCAAGACAAGCUAAAAAGGGAAAACAAAGUCCAGGAGGUAUAGUAUCAAUAGGCAAUAUCUGCCCAACAACACUCGGAAUUCCACCACACCAAAACUCUCUUUCAACUAGAGAAAAGGGGGGCAAUGGAACAGCUAUAACAAUUCUCUGUAACCAAACAAAUCAUAGAACAGAUCACAGGAUCAACUCAAAAAACAGAAAGAUGCAUCAAAGAGAAAAAAAAGGGGAAUAUAAGUACACAAGAUAAGCGUGCCAGCAUUAUGAUCCCCACACGCGGACACCCUUCCAUGUAGAAUAUUUGCUAAAAAGUUCAACACACUGAAUAAUCUGAUGAUAGGGCAAAAUAUUGAUAAACAUCAGAAGUAUAUUUACUUGGUAUAUGGAUAAUCCAUAAAGGCUCAAUAACCAGUGGUAGAAUGUUUCCCUUACACCCCCAUUUAUUGUUGCCAAAUAGUUGAUUCCAGCAGCUGCUUCAAAAGUGAUAAUCAACAAAUAGCAAGGAAUUUUGUGCCCUACAAACUUGCAGAAGCCUUGCUGUAGCCAAUCACAACCCGGAAGACAAACCACUCACUAUAUUGACCAUUGGCCAGAGUAUUUUCCAACAGAAACCUGAAGCAUAUAACCUCAUUGAAAUCAAACAAACAAGAUUCCAACACAAACCUGCAGGAUGUAAGCUCAUCAACAAAUUAAACAAAUAAGAUAACAAGCAAACCGCAAAACACCAACAAAACUCUUUAUUCGCAGAUGUCCACAAACAAUUCUCUACUGGCAAGCUGCAACAACAAUUUGGCAAAAUGACUGACCAAAUUACACUCUACAGCAAGGCAUUGAGAAGCUAAAUCAUUUACUAGAAGCCCCUUGAAUAGCGUUCUGCAACACUUCUCAAAAACACGAAGAUGUACUCAUAAAUCCACAACAUUCAAAAUUUCAAUCUAUUUAAAAACGAUCCACAAGCAAUUCAAACAUUUUCACCUCACUCCAACAGAGAUGCACAAAUGAAAGACCAAAAUAUGAGAUAAACCUCAUAGUAUUCAGGUAGCCAUGUGGAAGCUAGAAGCAAGAAGAAAGAAUUAGAGUCAUCAGAAGCCCCUGCAGUGGAGAGAAAGCCUUAAUACUCCAAAAAACUGAACACACUUUGCCAUCGCUGCUCAAGAAAUUUGCAACAAACAUAGUUAUACUUCGGAGCAUUCAGUUAGGCAGAGAUAAAAGAAACCAACUGGAAAAAUGACUGAAUAACACAAUAGAAAACUCCUCCAGUGAAAUGGUCACUUGAUUCUUCGAAAACUCGGAAAAUUCCUCAAUCAUAGAAGCUCCCUUUGCAGCAGUCCAGAUAUUCCUCAACUACUAAAUCCAUUUCUGAAACUCUGCAACAUUUAACAUUGCAAAAAAUGAAACAGCCAGAUUACAAUAUGCUCUAAAAUAUUCAUGAAUAGAAGUGAUUAAAAAAAGUUCGAAAAAAUUCAUUAGAUCAGCCCCUAGAAGUGGUCAAAUACCCAGACCAUUUCUCAAUAACUGCAACAUAACACUUGCAAAAAUCAAAUGACCAAAAUACAAUUGGGUUUUUAAGUUUUCAUAGAUAAAUUUGUAGAUGCGAUCAGCUAAGAAAGGGCCGAAUGACAUCCCCAAAUCCUACCCAAACCUUUGAAAAAGGGGGAAAAAACCCCACAUCAUAGAAAAGAAGUUCACAAAAAUGAAAGCUGAACUUAUAGUACUCAAACAGGCAUAGAUGGAAGCUACCUACAAGAAAGAACAAGGGAGUUGUCAGAAACUCCUAAGGUGGAGAGUUGGCAAGAUAAAACACUUAUUCAUCACUCUCAAGAAAUUUGCAAAAAAUGAAAGACAGAGUUAAUACAAACCUCAAGGAUUCAGUUAGGUAAAGAUAGAAGAAAUAAACUGCAAAAAUUACUAAAAUAGGACAAUAGAAAACCCCCUGACUAGAAUAGUCCUAGUAUUCUUUCAAAACUUGCUCCCAGCGUUACUUGGAACUUGGAAUGUUUCCCUAUUGCUGCCACAGAACAUUGCAAAACUGAAAAGAUUUGCUCAACUAUACGGACAGUAAACUAAGAAAAAGUCAUGAAUGCCACCUUCGUAACAGAGCCCAAAUGUUCCUCAGCUACCCAAACCAUUUCUAGAACACCGAAACGUAAAAAAUUACAAAAAUGAAAUGGCCCGAAUACAAUCUGCACUGAAGUAUUCAUAUUAAAAUUAAUAAACUAAGAGCAGAUUCCAAAGGAAAAAAAAAAAAAAAAACUCAUGAAACAUCACCCAGAUGCAGAGUCACGGUAUUCCUCAAAUACUCUUUAACACUGCCACACAAAAGUAUGCGUAAAUCAAAAGAUCAAAACGCAAUUUAAUUUUAAGUUUCAUAGAUAGAAGUGAUUAACUAAGGAAGAAUGGACAAAAACUCAUUAGACACCCUCAAGUAUUAGCAGAAUCCCAAUCUUCCACUGAAACCCAAAGAAUUUCCACAUCACUGCAACAGAAAUUGGCAAAAAUGAAAGACAAAAUUAUGAGCUGCAACUUUAUAGCACUCGAAUAGGAUGGAUGGAGCGAGAUAAGGAAAAACAAUAAAGAAGUCAUAAAAACCCCCUGCUGUAGUGAGAUAGCCCAGCAUAACCUGACUAGAAGUUUUCAAUGAGGGAAGUGAUCAACUAAGAAGAGGUCAGAAAAGCUCUUUAACACAUCCCCAGAAUCCCAAUCUUCCAGAAAAAGUCAAAACAUUUCCACAUCGCUGCAGCAUAUGCAAAAACGCAAGAUCAAAAUAUGAGCUGGACAUCAUAGUAUUCAGAAAGGCAAUUGUGGAAGCUAAAAAGAAGGAGAAAACAUAAAAGAGUCCUAAAAACCGGUUGAUAGAUAGCGCCAAUACUCCUCUAAAUCCAUGACCACUAUUUGCACGGUUGUACAUGCAAAAAAAAGAGCAAAUAACAAGCCAGAAACCUCCAGAUUACUUGACAGUUCCAAGUUUAUUAAUCCAUGAAACUUAAGAGCCCCAAUACUCCUCUAAAUGCACGACGACCAUUUGUACUGUUGUACACGCAGAAAAAGAAGCAAAUAAUGAGUCAGACACCUCCUGAUUACUUGACAGUUCCAAGUUAAUUAACACAGGAGACUUAGAGCAGACACCCUACCGGUAUCUCAAACCUCCACUCCGCACAGGAAUUCAAGAUUCUGUAACCAAGAAUUGAAUGAAGAGAAAAGAAAAUUGAAGGCAAAACAACUCCAAUCCACAAUCUCAGCCUACAAUGACACCUUGUCACCAAUAAAUUAAAUGGAACCAUGAAAUUCCAAUUAUAUGAAUAUAUAAAGCUUCAUAAUAAUGAGCAAUAGAUCAAUUACCAAUGAGAGCAACACAAACCAACAAAUUGCCGCCUGCCUAUUUAUUGAACGGCACAAAUUUCAAGAUAAUAUCUUCGUCACCAACAGCAAAAAAAAGAAAAAUAUGUACUAUAAACUCUGUUCGAUUCUCUGCAUAAUACGAACAUUCCGAGAUCUCAAUCUAUUUCACAAACCACCCACAAGCAAGUCAAUAAUCGAAUAUUAUAUAUCAUCUUUAUAAUAAAACCAUAACCCUCAAAAUUCCUUGACAAAGAAGUUAAGAAAGUCACCAAUCAAUCUCAGUUCACUAGUCCAAGAAACUACAGCGGAUGCCCGAUCGAUAAAGAACAGCACAGAUUCAAGAUCCUGUACCCAAUAAUUGAACAAAGAGAAGCCAAGCAACUUCGAUCCAAUACAUCAGUGUAUAAAAUAAAAAUACCUUCGUCUCCAAUAACUCAAAAACAACGAAGAAAUUUCAAUCAAUUCGAAUAACAACACUAAUAUUGCGCUAAAUUAAUUCCCGAUGGUCACACCGCACCCAACCCGUAGAAAAGAACAUAGACAAACAGAAAGAAAGCAUAGGCCCACGACCGUGCUCCCCGACGCGGGGGUAUAUUUAUAGGAUCGCUGGUCAAGAUCGACGGCUAUUGCUU